GGAAAGGAGAAAGAAAAAGAAGAAGAAGGAGAAGGAGAGCAAGGAAGGAAGAUGAAGGGAGGAGCAAGGGUUUCCUACCAACUAAGGAGUAGAACCAAGAGGUGACGAGACAACGCGACGCGAGGCCAUCGGUUAUCCAUCAUCACCUAUGACUCAAGAUGUGGAUUCAGGAAAACCUUCAGAGACUGUGGUUGAGGAGCCGACCCUCUAUGGAGGUGACCUCUGGGACGAGGAGCUGAUCAUGCACGAGGAUGGUUGUGUAUGCAAUGAUUGUGCUUUCGGAGCACGCUGAGGAUGAGAGUAUUAUCCUUCUUUUUAAUUAUUUUGUUUACACAUCAGAUGUAGCCCUAAGGGCAUAAUUGUAAUUUAAAUUACGUUGCGAAAAUAUUUUGGUAACUAUGGUAAAUAUUAUUAGACUUACCAAUUAUGUAUAUUUGACUCUUAUUAUUAUCUUGUGAUCA